CCGUCAUCGUGAAAGAUUUGACUGGGAAGACCAUAUUGAUCCACCUGUCCAACAACGAGUUUCAGAGCGUCACAGUGCUGCAGCUGAAGGAGAAGUUGGAGCCUCUAACAGGAGAACCAGUAGGAGAACAGCGACUGAUCUUCGCAGGCACACAGCUGAAGGACGAUCGUUGGCUGGUUUCAUGUGGAAUCCAACACAAGACAACCAUUGAGUUAAUUCUAAAAAAUGAUGUCACGGUCUUCGUUAAAUGUAGUGAUUUGGAGACCAUAGCGAUCCACCUGUGUGACAAUAAGUUUCAGAGCGUCACAGUGCUGCAGCUGAAGGAGAAGUUGGAGCCUCUAUUUGGAGUCCCAGGUAACAUCAUGUUAUUAUUAAAAUGACCAGUAGAAGCAUGCAGAGUUUAGUCUAAUGCUAAAAUGAUGGACUACAGAUCAGAUUAGGUUCAAGGCAAGGCAAGGCAAGUUUAUUUGUAAAAGCACAAUUCAACACAAGGUAAUUAAAAGUGCUUUACAUACACAUUAAAACAGCAAGACACAAUUGAAAACAGUAAAAACAGUCAAUUAAAACAGAGAAAUAGAAAUAAAAAUAUAAAUAAGAUAAAAUAAGAUACAGCAGGAUAAAAAAGAGAUAAAAUAAUAAAAAGCACAAGUCAAACAUUGCGUAGUUAAAAAGUAAGGGCAGUAGAGUAGAGCAGAUAAGUGUUAAAGUUAAGAGUACGCUGCAGUAAACAAUAGUGUUUUUAGUCCUGAUUUAAAGGAGCUGACCUCAGAUCUACAGGUAGUUUGUUCCACAGGUGAGGAGCAGAAUAACUGAAAGCUGCCUCACCCCGCUUAGUUCUUGUUCUUGGGACCCGCAACAAGCCAGUUCCAGAUGACCUAAGGGGUCUGGAUGCUUCGUAGGGAGGCAGCAGAUCAAGCAUGUCAUUUGGUCCGAGACCAUUCAGUGCUUUGUAGACCAGCAGUAAGACUUUAAAAUCUAUCCUCUGACUCACAGGAAGCCAGUGUAGUGAUUCAAUGUAAAAUGUAAACAGUAAUCGCCGUCAUCCACAUUCACCAGCUUUGAACUCAGCUUGUUUGAGCUGGGGCGUCCGCACACGGUGCUGUGUGCGGUGGUCUAUCGGCCCCCCAAAUAUAACAGAGACUUUUUAACAGACUUUUCUGUGUUUUUGGCAGAUAUCAUGCCAAAAUAUGACCGGGUCCUUAUUGCUGGAGAUUUUAACAUUCAUGUGUGUUGCCCUGAAAACCCUUUGGCGAGUGACUUUUUAAACAUCAUUGACUCUUUUAAUCUCACGCAGUGUGUACUGGGGCCUACACAUGAACGUGGUCACACACUUGAUCUGGUUUUAUCUCAUGGUUUGCCUGUUCUUAACCUGGAGGUCUGUGAUGCUGUUUUCUCGGAUCACAUGCCUGUACUUUUUGAAGCUGCUGUUUGCCGUAACACAGUUAAACCUCGCGCUGCUGCUCGCAGAUGUCGAGUCAUUAACUCCUUCACUGCUGCUCACUUCUCUGCAGUCUUCAGUCAGAGCUGCAUGAUUCCUCAGUCUGUGUGUGACGACACAGAGUCUUUCAACUCUUGGUUCCUGGACACCUGUCGAACUGCUAUAGACACUGCUGCUCCUUUGAAGACCAGGCAACAGAGAACUAAAUCAGAGCCUUGGCUAAAUGAAACGACCCGCAUGGCCAGACAGGAGUGUCGAAGAGUGGAACGAAAAUGGAAAAAGGACAAACUACAAGUGUCUUUUCAGAUAUUGAGGGAUUGCUGGCGUCAUUUCCAAUCCACUGUAAGAGAGGCAAAAAGAAAAUAUUUUGCUGAUAUUGUUAUGGUGAACCGUCAUAAACCUCGUGUGUUGUUUAAAGUAAUUAACUCUGCUCUUAAUGCACCACCUACUGGAUUUGAUGCCUCUCCUGCUCUGUGUGAGAACUUUCUUCAGUACCUCACUAAUAAGGUCGCC